UACGGGGGGGGGCAAGCGUUGUUCGGAAUUACUGGGCGUAAAGGGCUCGUAGGUGGCCAACUAAGUCAGACGUGAAAUCCCUCGGCUUAACCGGGGAACUGCGUCUGAUACUGGAUGGCUUGAGUUCGGGAGAGGGAUGCGGAAUUCCAGGUGUAGCGGUGAAAUGCGUAGAUAUCAGGAGGAACACCGAUGGCGAAGGCAGGUCUCUGGGCCACUACUGACGCUGAGAAGCGAAAGCAUGGGGAGCGAACAGG
rnacentral:rRNA from 1 species